UAACAAUAAACGCUUCUAAUUUUGGUCAUUGUCAAAGCGAGUUUAGCUAAUUGUCGAAGAGUUUAUUCGAUGUGGUUUCAUCUAAUGCGAAAUAGUUAUUCAAUAUGAGUACAACAAGUACCCAAGAUGGCGGCUCUUCCUGUAGCCUCGAAUAAGAUCGAGGAUUCGACGAUUCGCGACGAUUGACGUAGAAGGCGCUGUUUAAAUAUUUGUGACGAAUUAUAUAAAUUAUCGAACGAUAACGUGUUUGCGGAUGCGUUCAGUGACACAGAAGCGAAAGUUAUAUGAAUUUAAAAGCAGUCAAGAGCUGCCGCCGUGAAAUGCGUUCGCCAUCUCGUUUGCACGCGUGCAUGCGCAAACAAGAUGGCGACCACUGCCAUCUUGAAUACCUAGGGUAAAUCUAACCUAAAAGGAUUCUCUGAUAUUGAAUGCUUUUGUUUUGAAACUAUUUUCCAGUACGAAGAUGGUUUUUACGUAUCUUAUAAUUAUCAGGUAAGUGAAAAGAGAAAUUUUGAAAUACUCUAUUAUUACCAACAACGAAUACAGAAAUAUUUACAGGAUGUGCAGAAAGCUGUAUGAUUUAGCGGCAAAAUUCUAGGACAAAUGUAGCAAAAUUUCGUCUCCCCAAAUUCAUUCAUUCAUUUCAUUUUAUUAAAAUAACAUAAGUUACAUUUCCUGAUUUCGCUGAGCAUUAUCAGGAUUUAAAAACACUAACUAAUUAUGACAAUGAACACAGCAUAUUAAUAAACAUUAAGAGUAAAAUUGUACAAUGAUGGGAGGGCAACAAGGAUAUUAUACAGGCGUAAUAUAUAUUUAUACAAGUAAAAUUUUAUGAAAAAUAAGAUAGUGUAAAAUAUACAGUAACAAUUAAAAGUAACGAAGAUAAAAUAAAAUUAGAAUCACAACAAUUAAGCGCAAGUUAACAAAUUAUAAAAGAAGCGAACAGCAGAAGUGCAAAGAUAUUAUAGAUGAUACAUAUAUAGAAAUGAGUAUAUAUACAAACUAUAAUAUAUAAUAAUAAGACAGUAUAGUGUAAAGUAGUAAUAAUCAUUUGCACCAAAGUACUUAUGUUUCGGCCACAGAAAAUCCGCUAGUAGUUGAGCAAUGGAAGUUGAACAAUGUUCUCAACACCACUGAACUCCGCCAAGCAUCUGUGCGUAAUAUUCCGACAUAGUAAGAGCCACCAGAAGUUGAAGGAUUGUCUUCACGCUGCAUCAUUUAUAUUCAUUGGAAGUUGAAGAAACUUCGUCCACACCACAGUUAUUUCAAUAGCAAGGAAACCACUAGACGAUCAUAUGAUAAUGGUGCACAAGAAUAGAACACAUAAUAUAAUACACAAGUACACCACAAAGCAUGGAUUGAUGUAGAGUUGAUGCAGAAAACAGUCCAGUAGAAAAAUGUAAGCUCCUUCCAGUUUCAGUAAACUCAAUAAAUGUAAUAACGUGUAUUAAGUUCAAACACGAA